CAGCCGCCGCGGUAAUACGGAGGGGGCAAGCGUUAUCCGGAAUUAUUGGGCGUAAAGGGUACGUAGGUGGCCUUUUAAGCGUAGGGUAUAAGGCAAUGGCUCAACCAUUGUUCGCCCUAUGAACUGGAAGGCUUGAGUGCAGGAGAGGAAAGCGGAAUUCCUAGUGUAGCGGUGGAAUGCAUAGAUAUUAGGAGGAACAUCAGCGGCGAAGGCGGCUUUCUGGACUGCAACUGACACUGAGGUACGAAAGCGUGGGGAGCAAACAGGAUUAGAUACUCCCGUAGUCCCUGUCUCUUAUACA
rnacentral:rRNA from 1 species